UAAAAGUUGUUUUACACAGAGUCUUUUGUUGCGUGAUGUUUGCUUUGUAUUUUUUUCUUUCUUCCACCUUUUUUAUUCUCUUCCAAAUUUCAUAUCUUAUUUCUUUAUAUCUAUAAAAAAAAACUAAGAUAACAACUUCUGAAAUCUUCUUCGUAUACGCUUAAACAAUGACCAAACCCUUUUUGGGUGUUGCUAUUCACUCAUUUUUACACAAUCUCUAGAUUUUGUUAUCAUGUGGUAGUCGUUUACGGAAGAUGCAUCGUUACGUCGGAUCAGUCACCUUCCCUCAGAAACCCAUCAAAACCAACGGCAAGCCCAUUUGUCGGUUUGAGUUGCAUCAGUAGCGAGUUGCUAUAGUACGAGUAGCAUAGAUUUAAUGUUACUAUUGAGUUUCUACAGUCCGGUUCUUUGAUUAAAGGAGACCAGCGCUGAUUACCGGCGGCGGUUACCGGCGGAUGGCGGUGGUUAAUGGAAGAUUUGGUGUUUUAUGUUUAUCAGUAAUUCAGUAUUGAUAUGUACAUGGGUAUGCUUUGUAAGUUGUACCUGCUGCUUAGUAAGUGUAAAUAAGCAAUGUUAAAAGUGUGUUGUACCUUAUGCAUAUGUGUUUGUACCAUUAGCCAACCAAGCCAGUUAGUGUAACUGAGCCGGCACUGUAGCAAACUAAGCCGGCACUGUAGCAGUCCAAAUUGGGAUUGUUAUAUAUAUAAUGUUGCAGGACAUUCAAGGAUAAGAUUGGAAGUGCUAAUGAUGUAAAACUACUAUUGGAGGUCUCCAUUUCGGGACACGUGGAACGUUAUAUGCGUUCAUCUCCUCUUUGUAAAGCUGAUAUACAAAUACUAUUCAUGUUUGCAAAAGCGCGCUUACUGACGAAUUAAGAUGAAAUUCGGAUGUAGUAGAUUUAUAUCAUAUGAGUAAAGAACAUAUCCGUUGAAGUUUGCAUAUCACCUCGCAUAUUGUACAGCGCCAACGCGUAGAAACCAUAUCACCGAUUAUUUAUUCACAGCACAAUCUUGCAUUUGUACGAUAAUAUCAAACCGGUGAUUAAUGUGAUGAUCAUGGAAGUAAGGAAUAAAACAUUUAAUAAUCACCGCCGCAACGCGCGGGUCCUCUUCUAAAAUGUUGGUUGUAACCAUGUUGUCCUUCCUUUAUUUCAAUUCAUAUACAUUCUUAUCUAAACCAUUUUCACAUUCUCACUUCAAUUGAAUGUCCACUUAUAUUGUUA